AACCCUUGUCUUUAGUUGCCAUCAUUAAGUUGGGCACUCUAAAGAGACUGCCGGUGUCAAACCGGAGGAAGGUGGGGAUGACGUCAAGUCCUCAUGGCCCUUAUGGGUAGGGCUUCACACGUCAUACAAUGGUCGGUACAGAGGGUUGCCAAGCCGCGAGGUGGAGCUAAUCUCUUAAAGCCGAUCGUAGUCCGGAUCGUAGUCUGCAACUCGACUACGUGAAGUCGGAAUCGCUAGUAAUCGCAGAUCAGCAUGCUGCGGUGAAUACGUUCCCGGGUCUU
rnacentral:rRNA from 1 species